CGCCUUCGUUACACUCAACUUUGGCUGGAUGUCAACUGGAGAUUGCUGAUUGCCACCGCACACUGAAUUUGGCAAUUUCGCCCAAGCGCUAUUCAUCGGUUGCCAAUCAUGUUCUUAUGGGAAAAACAAAUUUUCUAAUACCGUGAUAAUUCCAACCGGAAGCUGUAAUCAGACAAAUGAAAACGAAUUUGGGACUCCAGUGUUCAAACAUGGAACUAGUAAAGGUCUUGGCCCGUGCUGUGUCGCUAACUUCCUCGAAGUGAUCAAAUGUUUUCACCUUCUUUGCAGCGAAAACCGGUAAUGCUGUCGAUGGCAGCCAAAGUCGCAAGAAGAGGACGAAAAUAGCCAGAUUGGAAUUGGCGCUUAAUCGUUUCAUUAUAUGUCUACGAGCUAGGUCUCUUAGACAAAGAAUUAUCAAAUGGAGGCACACUUGCGCUUCUGGCUGCUUCUUCGUUCGGGACUUGAAUGCGUUCCCGUUGUCGUCCAUGCUGGGGACGGAACAAGCUUCUUUGUCACCGCUUCACGCCCCGAGUUCAGGACAAUAACUUCAUUUGUGCAUGGUGCUGAACAGUUAUUUCUAUGUAAAUAUAUACUGACCGUAAACGACCUUGUUUUUUGAUCAAUUUUGCUAUCUGCAUUUAGAAAACGACUGGUUGAAUGCGCAAUAACAUUGUUUCCCGUUUUAAAUACUCGAUCAACAAGUUUGGUUUGUUUUUCGCAUAUUGUGUUAGAAUAAAACCGUGUGGGUCAUCUACUUUAUUCGCGUUAUUUAUUUUGAAAUUUUAUUCGUUCAAACAAACAGAGAUUCUGACUGAAAUAUGAGUGCGGAUUUGCGGUUGCGUUGAAUCAGAGAAUAGAUAAAUGAAUAAAGGUCGG